AGGUGAAAUGACAUUCUCAUCAACUCAUGGAUUCUUAUGAGCCAAGAUCCGUUGAUAACGUUCAUCCUCCCAUUCGUGGCUAGAGCUUAUUACCAUUUUAACUUGUGGAUCUGACGCUCUACAUCACGCCUGUGGAUACUACAAAUAUUUGAUCAACACUUGAGCCACUUUUGUACAGAUGCAGGUUUUGGGAGUCCGUCAGCUUAGGAUUCCGCACAACUCAGUUGGAAUAGGAUCCAUUGUAUUGAAGCCUAGUUUUUGAUACUGACCACUGAUGUAUAAAAUUGUGUUAUCUAUUCAGGGGUACGGCGGGGGCCCUAUCCCGCCACAUGUUGUCGUUAAUAUUUUUAGAGGUAUGCAGACAUAUAUAUAUGGAUUGUGUAUAUCACUUUGAUUCAGCUGGGUCUACAUGAUGUAUAAUAUAUGUUAUUAUGUUAUGGCAGCCUUGUCGGCUUGCAUUCCCUUUCAUGA